GACGUAGGGCGCGAGCGCUGUCCGGAUUUAUUGGGCGUAAAGAGCUCGUAGGCGGCUUGUCGCGUCGACUGUGAAAACCCGAGGCUCAACUUCGGGCUUGCAGUCGAUACGGGCAGGCUAGAGUUCGGUAGGGGAGACUGGAAUUCCUGGUGUAGCGGUGAAAUGCGCAGAUAUCAGGAGGAACACCGAUGGCGAAGGCAGGUCUCUGGGCCGAUACUGACGCUGAGGAGCGAAAGCGUGGGGAGCGAACAGG
rnacentral:rRNA from 1 species